GGACGAACGCUGGCGGCGUGCUUAACACAUGCAAGUCGAACGGUAAGGCCCUUUCGGGGGUACACGAGUGGCGAACGGGUGAGUAACACGUGGGUGAUCUGCCCUGCACUUUGGGAUAAGCCUGGGAAACUGGGUCUAAUACCGGAUAGGACUACGCGAUGCAUGUCGUGUGGUGGAAAGCUUUUGCGGUGUGGGAUGGGCCCGCGGCCUAUCAGCUUGUUGGUGGGGUGAUGGCCUACCAAGGCGACGACGGGUAGCCGGCCUGAGAGGGUGUCCGGCCACACUGGGACUGAGAUACGGCCCAGACUCCUACGGGAGGCAGCAGUGGGGAAUAUUGCACAAUGGGCGCAAGCCUGAUGCAGCGACGCCGCGUGGGGGAUGACGGCCUUCGGGUUGUAAACCCCUUUCAGCACAGACGAAGCGUAAGUGACGGUAUGUGCAGAAGAAGCACCGGCCAACUACGUG
rnacentral:rRNA from 1 species